rnacentral:tRNA from 1 species
AAUGAUAUGCCUGAAAAAGGGYUAUUUUGAUAGAAUAAAUUAUGUAUGAUUAAUCAUACUUUCAUUA